CAGAAACUACUCCUCACCGGCAAAACACGCUUGAUCGGAAAUACUCAUUAAUGGGUGAAAAGUACACUGAGAAAAAAAUUAUAGUAAAAUUAAUAAUUCAACCAUGUUCAAUAUUACCAUGCCUAAAAAUAGUUAUGAUGAACAUAUUUUCAGUGAUGAUUACUAUGUUUUACUUGCAAUUACCAUGCCUUGAAAAUCAUGCGCAUAGUAAUCAAUACCAUCAAACGUGGUUAUCCUUAUAAUGAUGUUCGUGAUUCUCAGAACCAUGGUCAUGUUUUCUAGUAAUAUUCUCAUGUUUAGUUUUACCGUCUCCGAAAGUUUUUCUAAUUCUUAACGAUUUCCGCAGACAUUUUUGUUCAAUAAAUUGUUUGCGACGUAGUUUGUAAUGCAGACGUAGCUUGUUUGGUAAAUUACUGGUGAGUAUUUUCAUCGAUUCAUGUUCUUAGCGUUCAAUAACAAAGUCAAUCUAUAUCUGCCAGGAACCGCAGUAACUCGACCUAGUAGGUUACCGGAUUCAAAGCCUUCAGGAAUUCCGAAAGACAAUCCUUAGGCUUCUUCGCCACCUUUGCCUUUCCGAGACGGACAUCAAAGAGAUGCUCUGGCUUGGUUCCAAGGAGAAGAAGGAUGAGAACGUGCAGAAGAGGGGGACGGAAAGUUUCAUAAAACAGCUCGAUUCCAUAGGAUCCACCUCCGGAACCCCCUUUGUAUGUAUGUUCAAUUGUUCCAAAUGCACCGCGGAUGGACUUCGGCGUAAUGUUCACUUCUACUUGAGUUCCUUCUACGCAGGUUCAUCAGUUCGCGCCACCCGAACCCCUGAACCAAGCAUGAAGCUGACCAAUUCCUCCAUCAGCAGCUAAAAUUCCCAAACGACGUCGUUUUAAUGCAAAUGGACAUUCCCCAGAACAUUCAACCGAACCAUCUUUCACCAAAUCAAGCCGCCAGGAUGGAAUCGCACAAGUUUAGGAUAUUUAUUUAUUUAAUCAAGAAACAAUUGUGUUAAUUUAUUUAUCUAAAUAGACAGCAAUACAUUUAA